rnacentral:rRNA from 1 species
CAGUGGCGAAGGCGACUCUCUGGUCUGUUACUGACGCUGAGCUCGAAAGCGUGGGGAGCAAACAGGAUUAGAUACCGUGGUAGUCCACGCCGUAAACGAUGAGUGCUAAGUGUUAGGGGGUUCCGCCCUUUAGUGCUGCAGCUAACGCAUUAAGCACUCCGCUGGGGAGUACGACCGCAAGGUUGAAACUCAAAGGAAUUGACGGGGGCCCGUACAAGCGGUGGAGCAUGUGGUUUAAUUCGAAGCAACGCGAAGAACCUUACCAGGUCUUGACAUCCUUUGACAACUCUAGAGAUAGAGCUUUCCCUUCGGGGACAAAGUGACAGGUGGUGCAUGGUUGUCGUCAGCUCGUGUCGUGAGAUGUUGGGUUAAGUCCCGCAACGAGCGCAACCCUUAUUGUUAGUUGCCAUCAUUCAGUUGGGCACUCUAGCGAAACUGCCGGUGACAAACCGGAGGAAGGUGGGGAUGACGUCAAAUCAUCAUGCCCCUUAUGACCUGGGCUACACACGUGCUACAAUGGACAGUACAAUGAGCAGCGACACGGCGACGUGAAGCGAAUCUCAUAAAGCUGUUCUCAGUUCGGAUUGUAGGCUGCAACUCGCCUACAUGAAGCCGGAAUCGCUAGUAAUCGCGGAUCAGCACGCCGCGGUGAAUACGUUCCCGGGCCUUGUACACACCGCCCGUCACACCACGAAAGUUUGUAACACCCAAAGUCAGUGAGGUAACCUUCGGGAGCCAGCCGCCUAAGGUGGGAUAGAUGAUUGGGGUGAAGUCGUAACAAGGUAACCA